CACUAUCGUUAACUGAAUACAUAGGUUAACGAGGCGAACCGGGGGAACUGAAACAUCUAAGUACCCCGAGGAAAAGAAAUCAACCGAGAUUCCCCCAGUAGCGGCGAGCGAACGGGGAGCAGCCCAGAGUCUGAAUCAGCUUGUGUGUUAGUGGAACGGUCUGGAAAGUCCGACGGUACAGGGUGAUAGUCCCGUACACCAAAAUGCACAGGUUGUGAACUCGAAGAGUAGGGCGGGACACGUGGUAUCCUGUCUGAAUAUGGGGGGACCAUCCUCCAAGGCUAAAUACUCCUGACUGACCGAUAGUGAACCAGUACCGUGAGGGAAAGGCGAAAAGAACCCCGGCGAGGGGAGUGAAAAAGAACCUGAAACCGUGUACGUACAAGCAGUGGGAGCACCUUCGGGUGUGACUGCGUACCUUUUGUAUAAUGGGUCAGCGACUUAUAUUCUGUAGCAAGGUUAACCGUAUAGGGGAGCCGCAGGGAAACCGAGUCUUAACUGGGCGUUAAGUUGCAGGGUAUAGACCCGAAACCCGGUGAUCUAGCCAUGGGCAGGUUGAAGGUUGGGUAACACUAACUGGAGGACCGAACCGACUAAUGUUGAAAAAUUAGCGGAUGACUUGUGGCUGGGGGUGAAAGGCCAAUCAAACCGGGAGAUAGCUGGUUCUCCCCGAAAGCUAUUUAGGUAGCGCCUCGUGAACUCAUCUUCGGGGGUAGAGCACUGUUUCGGCUAGGGGGUCAUCCCGACUUACCAACCCGAUGCAAACUACGAAUACCGAAGAAUGUUAUCACGGGAGACACACGGCGGGUGCUAACGUCCGUCGUGAAGAGGGAAACAACCCAGACCGCCAGCUAAGGUCCCAAAGUCAUGGUUAAGUGGGAAACGAUGUGGGAAGGCACAGACAGCCAGGAUGUUGGCUUAGAAGCAGCCAUCAUUUAAAGAAAGCGUAAUAGCUCACUGGUCGAGUCGGCCUGCGCGGAAGAUGUAACGGGGCUAAACCAUGCACCGAAGCUGCGGCAGCGACACUAUGUGUUGUUGGGUAGGGGAGCGUUCUGUAAGCCUGCGAAGGUGNUGCUGGAGGUAUCAGAAGUGCGAAUGCUGACAUAAGUAACGAUAAAGCGGGUGAAAAGCCCGCUCGCCGGAAGACCAAGGGUUCCUGUCCAACGUUAAUCGGGGCAGGGUGAGUCGACCCCUAAGGCGAGGCCGAAAGGCGUAGUCGAUGGGAAACAGGUUAAUAUUCCUGUACUUGGUGUUACUGCGAAGGGGGGACGGAGAAGGCUAUGUUAGCCGGGCGACGGUUGUCCCGGUUUAAGCAUGUAGGCUGGUUGUCCAGGCAAAUCCGGAUAAUCAAGGCUGAGGUGUGAUGACGAGGCACUACGGUGCUGAAGUAACAAAUGCCCUGCUUCCAGGAAAAGCCUCUAAGCAUCAGGUAACAUCAAAUCGUACCCCAAACCGACACAGGUGGUCAGGUAGAGAAUACCAAGGCGCUUGAGAGAACUCGGGUGAAGGAACUAGGCAAAAUGGUGCCGUAACUUCGGGAGAAGGCACGCUGGUGUGUAGGUGAAGUCCCUGCGGAUGGAGCUGAGACCAGUCGAAGAUACCAGCUGGCUGCAACUGUUUAUUAAAAACACAGCACUGUGCAAACACGAAAGUGGACGUAUACGGUGUGACGCCUGCCCGGUGCCGGAAGGUUAAUUGAUGGGGUUAUCCGUAAGGAGAAGCUCUUGAUCGAAGCCCCGGUAAACGGCGGCCGUAACUAUAACGGUCCUAAGGUAGCGAAAUUCCUUGUCGGGUAAGUUCCGACCUGCACGAAUGGCGUAAUGAUGGCCAGGCUGUCUCCACCCGAGACUCAGUGAAAUUGAACUCGCUGUGAAGAUGCAGUGUACCCGCGGCAAGACGGAAAGACCCCGUGAACCUUUACUAUAGCUUGACACUGAACAUUGAGCCUUGAUGUGUAGGAUAGGUGGGAGGCUUUGAAGCGUGGACGCCAGUCUGCGUGGAGCCAACCUUGAAAUACCACCCUUUAAUGUUUGAUGUUCUAACGUUGGCCCCUGACCGGGGUUGCGGACAGUGUCUGGUGGGUAGUUUGACUGGGGCGGUCUCCUCCCAAAGCGUAACGGAGGAGCACGAAGGUUAGCUAAUCCUGGUCGGACAUCAGGAGGUUAGUGCAAUGGCAUAAGCUAGCUUGACUGCGAGCGUGACGGCGCGAGCAGGUGCGAAAGCAGGUCAUAGUGAUCCGGUGGUUCUGAAUGGAAGGGCCAUCGCUCAACGGAUAAAAGGUACUCCGGGGAUAACAGGCUGAUACCGCCCAAGAGUUCAUAUCGACGGCGGUGUUUGGCACCUCGAUGUCGGCUCAUCACAUCCUGGGGCUGAAGUAGGUCCCAAGGGUAUGGCUGUUCGCCAUUUAAAGUGGUACGCGAGCUGGGUUUAGAACGUCGUGAGACAGUUCGGUCCCUAUCUGCCGUGGGCGCUGGAGAAUUGAGGGGGGCUGCUCCUAGUACGAGAGGACCGGAGUGGACGCAUCACUGGUGUUCGGGUUGUCAUGCCAAUGGCACUGCCCGGUAGCUAAAUGCGGAAGAGAUAAGUGCUGAAAGCAUCUAAGCACGAAACUUGCCCCGAGAUGAGUUCUCCCUGAGACUUUAAGUCUCCUGAAGGAACGUUGAAGACGACGACGUUGAUAGGCCGGGUGUGUAAGCGCAGCGAUGCGUUGAGCUAACCGGUACUAAUGAACCGUGAGGCUUAACCUU
rnacentral:rRNA from 1 species